CCUAGGAAUAACAACAAAAAAUGUUUUAACAAAUUUGUAUAUCCCAAGGCAAUGCAACAUCACAUGAAAAUUCCUAAGACACAGGAAGGAAAAGGAUUUGAGAGCCAAGAGGAAAAAAUGUUGGUACAGCUGUACCUAAAGAAUAGUUCUAAAACUAUACAGCUAAUGUGAAUCUAUGCUUUCAAAAAUUUUACACGGGGUAAAAUAUUCAAGCUCCUUCAUGCCAACCCACACAAAGUAUCUUUUUCUUCUCAGGAUCUGAAAUGUUUCUACCUGAAAAGAGUUUCUCCUAUGUGUUAGGCACUAUCCUCAGAGCUAGGCAUAAGGUUAUGAGUGAAACAAAGUCAUUGCUAUUCCUCAAGGAGCUUACUUUGUAGAACACAGAGGGCCGGAAGGUAACCAUACAGAUAAUUCACACAAAUAGGGACUACGAAGAAGCCUUGAAAAUGAAGCCUCGUUCAGGUGGAAAUACUGCCCACUGCCCCAUCACUUGAGAGAGCGCACCAGCCCCCAGGAUUCUCCCCAUGACUUUGAAAAACCUGAGCAAAGACUGUGUAUAGACACUGCCUAGCCAUGAAGCAUUUUGCAGGUUUGAAGUGUCCAAUAUGUGAUUAGGUUGGUGAAAGACAUUCACUACACUUUAAAAUGUGAAGGUUUCAAGGUGGGUUAAGAUUUUGUAAAAUGUUAACUGAAAAAAAUCCAGUGUUUAGAGCCAUCUACACCAUGUGACCCAGGGAAAAACAGAAGGAGCUAUAUAAAAAUGUUAAUAUUCUCUGACUCAUGAGUCAUCUCCAUCCUCAUACUUUUUAGAUUUUCCAAAUUUUCUUUAAUCUUAUUUAUUUAUAUAAGCAGAAAAGAAGUUAUAACCUUUUUUUCUGCCCACCACUAAAUGUUCCUGUUUUUUUGACCAAAGGAGAGGAUAUCCUUAUAACAAAAGGAAAUCGACUGCAAGAAGUAUGGCCUGCUUCCUAAAGAUUUAGCUCUAAGACAGGUUUUCUUUCCUUUCUUUAUUAUCAAAACAAUACACAGGCACUGUAGAAAGUUCAGAAAAAACAAGCAAAGAUAGGAAAUAAAAUCAUCCAUAAUCCCACCAUUCAAAGAUGACUUUUGAUGGUCUUUUUUUUCUAUGUAGAUAAUGAAUCUCAGUGUUUUUAAAUUCAGCUACUUAUGCAUUUA